rnacentral:pre_miRNA from 1 species
CAAAUUCAUGUUCCUCGGCAGUUAACUGCAGCCGAUUUUUUUAGAAUUCGGCAGUUAACUGUCGAUGGAUAU